rnacentral:rRNA from 1 species
GACGAACGCUGGCGGCGUGCUUAAUACAUGCAAGUCUUAGGGGUUUUCAUCCUUCGGGGUGAAGAUCACUGGCGCACGGGUGAGUAACACGUAAGUCAUCUGCCUCCGGGUCGGGCAUAACACCGGGAAACCGGUGCUAAUUCCCGAUGACACUGCAAAGUCAAAGGCUUCGGUCGCCCGGAGAUGAGCUUGCGUCCGAUUAGCUAGUUGGCGGGGUAAUAGCCCACCAAGGCGACGAUCGGUAGCCGGUCUGAGAGGAUGAUCGGCCACAUUGGGACUGAAACACGGCCCAGACUCCUACGGGAGGCACCAGUAAGGAAUAUUGCGCCAUGGAGGCAACUCUGACGCAGCAACGCCGCGUGUAGGAAGAAGGCCCUUUGGGUCGUAAACUACUGUAGCAGGGGAAUAAUGGCCUACCAUGGGUAGGUUUGAAGGUACCCUGAAAGUAAGCGCCGGCUAACAUACGUGCCAGCAGCCGCGGUAAUAAU